rnacentral:rRNA from 1 species
AUUGAACGCUGGCGGCAUGCCUUACACAUGCAAGUCGAACGGCAGCAUGGAGAGCUUGCUCUCUGAUGGCGAGUGGCGAACGGGUGAGUAAUGCAUCGGAACGUACCGUGUAAUGGGGGAUAACGUAGCGAAAGUUACGCUAAUACCGCAUACGACCUGAGGGUGAAAGCAGGGGAUCGCAAGACCUUGCGUUAUACGAGCGGCCGGUGUCAGAUUAGCUAGUUGGUGAGGUAAAGGCGCACGAAGGCGACGAUCUGUAGCGGGUCUGAGAGGAUGAUCCGCCACACUGGGACUGAGACACGGCCCAGACUCCUACGGGAGGCAGCAGUGGGGAAUUUUGGACAAUGGGGGCAACUCUGAUCCAGCCAUGCCGCGUGAGUGAAGAAGGCCUUCGGGUUGUAAAGCUCUUUCGGCCGGGAAGAAAUCGCACAGGCUAAUACUCUGUGUGGAUGACGGUACCGGCAUAAGAAGCACCGGCUAACUACGUGCCAGCAGCCGCCGUAA